rnacentral:rRNA from 1 species
CCCUAUGGGGUGCAGCAGGCGCGAAACCUUUACAAUGCACGAAAGUGUGAUAGGGGGACUCAAAGUGCUUAUACUAUGUAUAGGCUUUUGCCAACUCAAAACUUGUUGGCGAAUAAGUGGUGGGAAAGACUGGUGCCAGCCGCCGCGGUAACACCAGCGCCACGAGUGGGAGCCGGUAUUAUUGGGCCUAAAGCGUCCGUAGCAGGUUUGAUAAAUUGCUUGUGAAAUCGCAUAGCUCAACUAUGCGGAUUGCUGGUAACACUGUCAAACUAGAGACCGGGAGAUGUUGGAGGUAUUCAAGGGGGAGCGGUAAAAUGCGAGAAUCCCUUGAGGACCACCUGUUGCGAAGGCGUCCAACAAUAACGGGUCUGACUGUGAGGGACUAAAGCUAGGGGAGCGAACCGGAUUAGAUACCCGAGUAGUCCUAGCCAUAAACGCUGCGAGCUAGGUGUUGCAUAAUCUUCGGGAUUAUGCAGUAUCGUAGAGAAGUCGUUAAGCUCGCCGCCUGGGAAGUACGGCCGCAAGACUGAAACUUAAAGGAAUUGGCGGGGGAGCACCACAAGGGGUGCGGCGUGCGGUUUAAUCGAAUUCCACGCCGAAAAUCUCACCGGAGGCGACGGUAGGAUGAAAGACAGUCUAAAGGGCUUUCUUGACGAGCCGAGAGGUGGUGCAUGGCC